rnacentral:ncRNA from 22 species
AAUACUGAAUGGUAUACAGGUGCGCCUCCUCCCGGAGACGCUGAAAAGGGAAGCGGGUGUGAAUCCCGCACAAUGCCGUUGCUGUAUUGGUGGAGCGGUUCUUAUAGGUCACUGGGGCUGUGCCCUGGGAAGGCGAGAACCGCGCUGGAUGCCUGAGUCAGAAUACCUGCCUGUAUAUGACGCACAGGA